rnacentral:rRNA from 1 species
GACAGAGGGUGCAAACGUUGUUCGGAAUUACUGGGCGUAAAGGGCGCGUAGGCGGCCAACUAAGUCGGACGUGAAAUCCCAAGGCUCAACCUUGGAACUGCGUCCGAUACUGGAUGGCUUGAAUCCGGGAGAGGGAUGUGGAAUUCCGGUGUAGCGGUGGAAAUGCGUAGAUAUCGAGAGACACCGGUGGCGAAGGCGGCAUCCUGGACCGAAUUAUGCGUGAGGCGACGGAAAGCCAGGGGAGCAAAACGGGG